AGAGUUUGAUCCUGGCUCAGGAUGAACGCUAGCGAUAGGCUUAACACAUGCAAGUCGAGGGGCAGCAUGGUCUUAGCUUGCUAAGACUGAUGGCGACCGGCGCACGGGUGCGUAACGCGUAUGCAACUUGCCUCACAGAGGGGGAUAACCCGUCGAAAGACGGACUAAUACCGCGUACACUCCAGCUUGGGCAUCCAAGGUAGAGGAAAUGAAAUUCGCUGUGAGAUAGGCAUGCGUCCCAUUAGCUAGUUGGUGAGGUAACGGCUCACCAAGGCGACGAUGGGUAGGGGAACUGAGAGGUUGAACCCCCACACUGGUACUGAGACACGGACCAGACUCCUACGGGAGGCAGCAGUGAGGAAUAUUGGUCAAUGGGCGAGAGCCUGAACCAGCCAAGUCGCGUGAAGGAUGACUGUCUUAUGGAUUGUAAACUUCUUUUAUACGGGAAUAACAAGAGCCACGUGUGGCUCCCUGCAUGUACCGUAUGAAUAAGCAUCGGCUAACUCCGUGCCAGCAGCCGCGGUAAUACGGAGGAUGCGAGCGUUAUCCGGAUUUAUUGGGUUUAAAGGGUGCGUAGGCGGCCUGUUAAGUCAGCGGUGAAAUCUAGGAGCUUAACUCCUAAAUUGCCAUUGAUACUGGCGGGCUUGAGUGUAGAUGAGGUAGGCGGAAUGCGUGGUGUAGCGGUGGAAUGCAUAGAUAUCACGCAGAACUCCGAUUGCGAAGGCAGCUUACUAAGGUACAACUGACGCUGAAGCACGAAAGCGUGGGUAUCAAACAGGAUUAGAUACCCUGGUAGUCCACGCAGUAAACGAUGAUAACUGGGCGUAUGCGAUAUACAGUAUGCUCCUAAGCGAAAGCGUUAAGUUAUCCACCUGGGGAGUACGCCGGCAACGGUGAAACUCAAAGGAAUUGACGGGGGCCCG
rnacentral:rRNA from 1 species